rnacentral:rRNA from 1 species
CACGUAGGGCGCGAGCGUUGUCCGGAAUUAUUGGGCGUAAAGAGCUCGUAGGCGGCCUGUUGCGUCCGCUGUGAAAGCCCGGGGCUUAACCCCGGGUCUGCAGUGGAUACGGGCAGGCUAGAGGUAGGUAGGGGAGAAUGGAAUUCCCGGUGUAGCGGUGAAAUGCGCAGAUAUCGGGAGGAACACCGGUGGCGAAGGCGGUUCUCUGGGCCUUACCUGACGCUGAGGAGCGAAAGUGUGGGGAGCGAACAGG